UACGAAGGGGGCUAGCGUUGCUCGGAAUUACUGGGCGUAAAGGGCGCGUAGGCGGAUAUUUAAGUUAGAGGUGAAAGCCCAGGGCUCAACCCUGGAAUAGCCUUUAAUACUGGAUAUCUUGAGUUCGGGAGAGGUGAGUGGAACUCCGAGUGUAGAGGUGAAAUUCGUAGAUAUUCGGAAGAACACCAGUGGCGAAGGCGACUCACUGGCCCGAUACUGACGCUGAGGCGCGAAAGCGUGGGGAGCAACAGGGAUUAAGAAACCCGAUGU
rnacentral:rRNA from 1 species